AUCAAUCGUCACAUGCAUACAAUAGAUGCCAAGACAUCACCAGCCAUCAAAUGUUUGACAAAAAAUAGGCACGCUGGCCAGAGUUUGCUACAUCUAACUGAGUAAACAUCUUAAUUAGCACGUAUAUACUAAUGUAGGUCAACUAGAGUUUUCUACAUCACAAAACAUGUACCAGCAUGUUAACUAUACAUGCACCAAAAUGUUACACCAAAACAUGUACCACCAUGUUAACAUCACGAACCCAACUGGUUGCUCAAUAGUGACUGACUGAAAAAGAAUCCCCCAAACAUCCCUUCAUCGUCUGCAACACGAACACUUGAGGCAACACCAUGUUCCUGCCUUCCUGGAAAGUAAGAUUUGCAAAUUUUCAAAGGCUAGAACAUGACAAUAAGAAGGAAAAAAAAUAGAAAGCAUAAGGAAAGGAUCAAGGUGCCAUAAAGUCACUCAUUUGUGAUGCAUUAGUUUGAAUCGCGUGAAACUAUUCUAGGGUAUGUUCAUAAAGAACUUUUUGAAACUGUUCCAGGAAAUAAAAAGGCUAAAGUUAAGUACUUCUCACACCUCUAGUAACCCAGAAUCUACCUUAAGUUGUGAGAUAUUACUUUUACUCUACACAUAAUCACAAAAGAAGUGAUUAUCUUUUUUUCGAAAUAAAGUAUGAACUACACUCAACUCUGUUGCAAUGCAAAUUAGUGUGUUACAUCAAGUCACCAAAGUUCUAAACAGAAUUUCCUAUUUCCAAUAAUGAGAACCUAGAAAUGCAAAAAUUGGUAUAAAUUUUGGCAGAAUAACAACUGUAAAUUGGACAACAGGACAUACAAAAAUAUAUUAUGAUCCCUCCAACAUCUCACACAACCCCAUUAAUCAAAUGAUCCAGCACCACAUAGGUUAGCAUCAUACAUCAAAGAAGCAUGCAUAUUGUCACAAGUAUGUGAACAUCACAACGAACAGAACAUCGAUAGUUGUAUCAUUUGAGAUUAGUUUGAGAAAUACAUACGUGAAGAGAGCUAGGAUUUAUUUCUUGUUGAGCACACAAAGCUGGUGGUUCUUUGCUAUUUUCUAGAAUCUGCAAAAGAAGUGUCAGGUUUUAGAAGUAAUCCUUAUCAUGCUUCAAAUGUAUUUAUGUUUGUGUGUUUGCUUGAGAUGGAUGGUUACAUACUUGGAUAGUAGAUCAUUGUGGAGAUCCAGGAGGAGAAAGUGAAUGAGAAGGUGGAACUGGCGGCGGUGGUAUUUCUGCAAUAGGCACUCCUUGGUUAGUUGCCAAAGUCUGCAAUACAAGAAAAUUCACAUGGUGGUUACUUUCAAAUCUAGCAAAUUGUAAAUGAAACAAACAAGUAUUAGAAAAGGAAAAAUAUUGUAGAACAAGAAACUACUUAUACAAAUUAAUAAGACAUACGUCUUCCCAGCAGGCCGGUCUUCAUUAUUUGGAAUAGCAGGAGGAAGAUCUGAAACUCUUACGUAUCCAUCAUAGUGUUCUGAGCAGCAGGCACAUGUUUGAUGGCUCGAGAAAGUCGAUAUGCUUUUCUUCCAAUUGUCAUCUUGUAAUGUGUGAUUCUUGAGACAAAUAAGAUAAAGAUAGAAAAGAAGAAUUUAUAAUCAACAAGAAAAUCAUGGUAAACAUAAUAAUAGCAAAUAGAUAAGUGUUUGUUGCCAAGUCUUCAACCACCUAGAUAAUUGAUUUAUAACACACACACACACACAAGAUGGAUCAGUGAAGCUACUAUUUUUGUCAUUCAUGUACUUGCAUAACUGUGAACAAAUUUAACAGAUAGACUACAUGAAAUAUUUCCUAUUCAUUGUGUUUAGUGGCUACAUUCUGACCACAAUUUACAUGGUUCAAUGGUUCAUUCAUGUGUUCGGGUGUGUUUGGUUUUGAGCCAAAGCUGGCCUUGCCAAAAUAUUGGCGUGCCCAUGAGUUUUGGCUGCUGUUUGGUUGGACACCAAAUAUUUGGCUUGCCCAACCCAGCCUGCGUUUGCCCAUGCAUUUCUCACCAAUACACGGGCAAGCCGAGGGCAACCAAUUCAUCCGCCAAAAUAUUGGCUGCCCACCUGCUAGCUUCACUGUAAUAUGCUUGGGUGUCAUGUUAGCUGAAAAAUUAAGUAGCUAGCUCGUAUACUUACGCUUCCAUGGGUCGUACUUUCUCUUUUCACAAAAGAAGGUACCAUAUUUUCUCGAUAUGAACAAGGGGUGGAAAGAGUCAGAAAUGAAUGUAUGUUCACAUAGGUUGCAUGCAAUAUAAGUCAUGAACAAUAAAAAAAUAUGUUUAUAGGAGAGGAGAGAUCAAUAUCUCAACCUUGAGUUACAACCAGCAAAAGGACAAAAAAGAACAUUAUCACCUAGAGCUUCCGCUCUUAUAUUUGCCCACUUGUGCGUUUGCACAUAGGCCAGCAAAGCACAUAAGUGAUAACCUAAACCAGAGAGUGAGAGAGAUAGAGAGAGAACCUUAUGGAUGGUAGCAGUGGUGUACAACAGCACGCAGAUCCGGUCGUCGUCCAAUCAGCGGGGG
rnacentral:lncRNA from 1 species